rnacentral:rRNA from 1 species
UACGUAGGGUGCAAGCGUUAAUCGGAAUUACUGGGCGUAAAGCGUGCGCAGGCGGUUCUAUAAGACAGAUGUGAAAUCCCCGGGCUCAACCUGGGAGCUGCAUUUGUGACUGUAGAGCUGGAGUGCGGCAGAGGGGGAUGGAAUUCCGCGUGUAGCAGUGAAAUGCGUAGAUAUGCGGAGGAACACCGAUGGCGAAGGCAAUCCCCUGGGCCUGCACUGACGCUCAUGCACGAAAGCGUGGGGAGCAAACAGG